GGCUUGGUCCCGCGUGCCUGCUUAAAGCCCUCUGCAUCCCUGCCCUCGGCCAGUCUCCAGACGGCACGGACACCACAGGAUCGGCUGCAGCCCCCGUUCUCAGAGGGAAGCGGAGACCAUGUCGGACGUGGAGGAGACGGUGGACGAGUACGAGGAGGAGCAGGAAGGUAAGCGCUCACCUGUCACUCACUGGGCGGAGGGACAACCUGGCUUGAAACUGACCGUCUCUUCUCUUCUCCCUUGCGGCUGCACCUCCUCCUGGAGCAGAAGGAGCUGCAGAAGAAGAGGAAGCCUGGAGACAGGAUGGAGACGAGCAGGAGGAGGCAGUGGAAGAAGAGGCUGGAGGCGAGGCUGAGGCUGAGGAGGCCAACGCCGAAGAAGCUGGGCAGGAAGAGGAUGGGAGAGAGGCUGAAGGUGAGAACCACUGGGCGUCAGGCCUGGAGCCCCUCCAGCAGCUGUGGGGAGACACGGGGACUUGGGGAGGGAGGACAGAACUCGGUGACCAUGUGU
rnacentral:lncRNA from 1 species